rnacentral:rRNA from 1 species
GACGAACGCUGGCGGCGUGCCUAAUACAUGCAAGUCGAGCGAGCGGAACUAACAGAUUUACCUCGGUAAUGACGUUAGGAAAGCGAGCGGCGGAUGGGUGAGUAACACGUGGGGAACCUGCCCCAUAGUCUGGGAUACCACUUGGAAACAGGUGCUAAUACCGGAUAAGAAAGCAGAUCGCAUGAUCAGCUUUUAAAAGGCGGCGUAAGCUGUCGCUAUGGGAUGGCCCCGCGGUGCAUUAGCUAGUUGGUAAGGUAAAGGCUUACCAAGGCGAUGAUGCAUAGCCGAGUUGAGAGACUGAUCGGCCACAUUGGGACUGAGACACGGCCCAAACUCCUACGGGAGGCAGCAGUAGGGAAUCUUCCACAAGGGACGCAAGUCUGAUGGAGCAACGCCGCGUGAGUGAAGAAGGUUUUCGGAUCGUAAAGCUCUGUUGUUGGUGAAGAAGGAUAGAGGUAGUAACUGGCCUUUAUUUGACGGUAAUCAACCAGAAAGUCACGGCUAACUACGUG